AACGAACGCUAUCGGUAUGCUUAACACAUGCAAGUCGGACGGACUAACAAGGGCUUGUUCCUCUUAGUUAGUGGCAGACGGGUGAGUAACACGUGGGCAUCUGCCCCUCCGUACGCAAUAACUUUUAGAAAUAAAAGCUAAUACCGUAUAUUCACUACAGAGGAAAGAUUUAUCGCUGAUGGGUGAGCCCGCGGGAGAUUAGGUAGGUGGAGAGGUAACUGCUCACCAAGCCGAAGAUCGGUAGCUGGUAUUAACGGAUGAUCCGCAACCCUGGGACUGGGACACGUCGCGAACUCUGACGGGAGGGAGCAGUGGGGAAUAAUGGACACUGGGCGAAAGCAUGAGCCAGCAAGACCGUGAAGGUGAUAAGGUCCCAAGGAUUGUAAAGCUCUUUUAGCAAGGAAGAUAAGGACGUUACUUGCAGAAAAAGCCCCGGUAAACUCCGG
rnacentral:rRNA from 1 species